rnacentral:rRNA from 1 species
UAAGACGAAGGUGGCGAGCGUUGUUCGGUGUCACUGGGCUUAAAGCGUGUGUAGGCGGAAGAGUAAGCGUCUUGUGAAAGCCCUCGGCUUAACCGAGGAACUGCUGGACGAACUACUCUUCUUGAGGCAGGCAGGGGUGCACGGAACUCUUGGUGGAGCGGUGAAAUGCGUAGAUAUCAAGAGGAACGCCGGUGGUGAAGACGGUGCACUGGGCCUGUUCUGACGCUCAGACACGAAAGCGUGGGGAGCAAACGGGAUCAGAUACCCCGGUAGUCCACGCCGUAAACGAUGUCUACUAGGUUGUGGGAGUUCUGACGCUAUCACGGCCGAAGCAAAAGUGUUAAGUAGACCGCCUGGGUAGUACGGCCGCAAGGCUA